UAUGUUUCGAUCAUAAAGUGCGGAUUCCUCUCUGGAUACCAAUACAAAAAGAAACCAAUCAACCGGACAGCUUUCAGCAUCCCAUUUUGACGAUUAAUUUAUACGAAUCAUGGUUUCAAAAUCAAGAGGAAUUCGAGUUGAGAAAUUGACACAUCGUUUGCAUCAUACGUUGAAGAAAAUGGAUACGGUAUUCAAAUGUUGGACUCCUCCAGUUUUAGAUGAAGAAACCAAACCACAAGAUGACACUGACGUUCGAUUUCAAGAUGCUUUUCAACUUGGAUAUGCGAUAAAAUCGCAAAUGGUUGCCGGGGUCACGUAUCAUAUGCUGCAGGGGAGUGGUGCUGACGAUGGAUGCAAAAUAUUACCGAGAAUUUUGGGCGCGUAAAGGAUGACGAUGCGUACGAGAUGAUUCAAGUACUUACUUACCUACAAUCUGCACGCAUUGGUUGGUAAAAAAUUAUUCUAGGAUCGAGAUCAUGAAAUAAAUUUGAAGAAACUGUCUUUUUUGAGAAAUUGAAAUGAAAAUUUCGAAAAUAUUUUCAUCAAAAUCAGACGUCCAGCGCGAUAUGGAUACGUUUAGAAGCCCUAAAACACCAUCGAUGAUGAUAGUUCAUACGUCCUCUCUCUCCUCUCUGCUUCCAAAAUCAUGAAAAAUUGAACAAUUUAUAUUCUGAGACCCCUAAUUGAAGUAAUCAGGGUAAUAAUGUGAGUAGUAGGUACGAUGGAAAAAAUAUUGUUGCUCAUAAAAAUAAAAUUAUCGUUUGCAUUUUUAAUUUUUAUUUAGGUUGGUGAAAGGUGUCGUUUUUCAUGAUUAUUUUUUGUGGAAAUUAGUACACCUAUUAGUGUAAAAAAUAACAUUUUCAAUUCAUAGAAUAUUUAGAAAAAAACUUGUGCAAAAAUGAAGCACAUUUUGUUUUUUUUUUAUUAUUUUUUUUUUAAUUUUUCAAAAUGGUGUUUAUUUAUUUUUCCAGACAUUUUUUGAAGAGUUGAUAAUUUUAUAUUUUUAUAAUUCUAAUUCAAUUUUUCAUUCCUUUGUUAUAAAUUGAAAUCAGUUUUAAAUUUUUUUAUCUACGUAUAUUUCAAU